UCAAGAAACUUCCACAAUGGGCGAAAGCCUGAUGGAGCGACGUCGCGUGAUGGACGAAGUGCUUCGGCACGUAAACAUCUUUUAUGUGGGAUGAAAUUAUUGACAGCACCACAUGAAUAAGGGGCUCCUAACUCUGUGCCAGCAGGAGCGGUAAUACAGAGGCCCCAAGCGUUAUCCGGAAUCACUGGGCGUAAAGGGUGUCGAGGCGGUUGUAUUAGUCGUUCGUAAAAUCUACGAGCUUAACUUGUAGGCGGCGAACGAAACGGUACGACUUGAGGUUUGGAGAGGUGCGUGGAACUCACGGUGUAGGGGUGAAAUCCGUUGAUAUCGUGGGGAACACCAAAGGCGAAGGCAGCGCACUGGCCAAAAUCUGACGCUCACACACGAAAGCUAGGGUAGCGAAGAGGAUUAGAUACCCUAGUAGUCCCUGAGCGGGCUGGCAAGGCGCAU
rnacentral:rRNA from 1 species